rnacentral:misc_RNA from 1 species
CUACAAGUAGCGGCAUCUGAACCGGGAUCUAAAAGGGGCUCAUAUAAGUCUGGAGAGAAGGGGAAGGGCUCGGAGUUGGGGUAUUUAGGAGCGGGAAUGGGCUACAACUCUUGGAUGUACCAACUCGUACCGCCGUCUGUUAACUGUACGAUAGAGUGAUUGUCUCCAGCGUUUUUUAUGGGCGUGGGCGACGGAGUCAAUGUUAUGCCAGUUGUGUUUUUUAUAUAAUAACAUGUUUCGUGAGUCUG